ACGCUGGCGGCGUGCCUAACACAUGCAAGUCGAACGGGGUAAUUACUUCGGUGAUUACUUAGUGGCGAACGGGUGAGUAACGCGUGAGGAACCUGCCUCUCAGUGGGGGACAACAGUUGGAAACGACUGCUAAUACCGCAUAACGCAGCGAGACCGCAUGGUCUUGCUGUCAAAGCUUUAUGUGCUGAGGGAUGGACUCGCGUCUGAUUAGCUUGUUGCGGGGUAAGGCCCACCAAGGCGACGAUCAGUAGCCGAACUGAGAGGUUGAUCGGCCACAUUGGGACUGAGACACGGUCCAGACUCCUACGGGAGGCAGCAGUGGGGAAUAUUGGGCAAUGGGCGAAAGCCUGACCCAGCGACGCCGCGUGAGGGAAGAAGGUCUUCGGAUUGUAAACCUUAGUCAACAGGGAAGAAGCAAGUGACGGUACCUGUGGAGGAAGCCACGGCUAACUACGUG
rnacentral:rRNA from 1 species